GAUGAACGCUAGCUACAGGCUUAACACAUGCAAGUCGAGGGGAAACGACAUCGGAAGCUUGCUUUUGAUGGGCGUCGACCGGCGCACGGGUGAGUAACGCGUAUCCAACCUGCCCACCACUUGGGGAUAACCUUGCGAAAGUAAGACUAAUACCCGAUGAUAUCUCUAGACGACAUCUGAAAGGGAUUAAAGAUUUAUCGGUGAUGGAUGGGGGAUGCGUCUGAUUAGCUUGUUGGCGGGGUAACGGCCCACCAAGGCAACGAUCAGUAGGGGUUCUGAGAGGAAGGUCCCCCACAUUGGAACUGAGACACGGUCCAAACUCCUACGGGAGGCAGCAGUGAGGAAUAUUGGUCAAUGGGCGAGAGCCUGAACCAGCCAAGUAGCGUGCAGGACGACGGCCCUAUGGGUUGUAAACUGCUUUUAUAAGGGAAUAAAGUGAGUCUCGUGAGACUUUUUGCAUGUACCUUAUGAAUAAGGACCGGCUAAUUCCGUG
rnacentral:rRNA from 1 species